UACGGGGGGGGCUAGCGUUGUCCGGAAUCAUUGGGCGUAAAGAGCGUGUAGGCGGUCCGGUAAGUCCGCUGUGAAAGUCGGGGGCUCAACCCUCGAAUGCCGGUGGAUACUGUCGGGCUAGAGUGCGGAAGAGGCGAGUGGAAUUCCUGGUGUAGCGGUGAAAUGCGCAGAUAUCAGGAGGAACACCAAUGGCGAAGGCAGAUCUCUGGGCCGUAACUGACGCUGAGGAGCGAAAGCAUGGGGAGCGAACAGG
rnacentral:rRNA from 1 species